rnacentral:rRNA from 1 species
AUACGGAGGGUGCAAGCGUUACUCGGAAUCACUGGGCGUAAAGGAUGCGUAGGCUGGAUGUCAAGUUGGAAGUGAAAUCCUAUGGCUUAACCAUAGAACUGCUUCCAAAACUGGCAACCUAGAGUGAGGGAGAGGCAGAUGGAAUUAGUGGUGUAGGGGUAAAAUCUGUAGAUAUCACUAGGAAUACCGAUUGCGAAGGCGAUCUGCUAGAACUCUACUGACGCUAAGGCAUGAAAGCGUGGGGAGCAAACAGGAGUAGAAACCCCUGUAGUCC